UACCUGUUCCAGUACAAUCACUAAAGUUAAGCAAUGUUGAGUCUGGUCAGUACUUAGAUGGGUGACCAUUUGGGAAUACCAGGUGCUGUAA